AUUGAACGCUGGCGGCAGGCCUAACACAUGCAAGUCGAGCGAGCGGCGGACGGGUGAGUAAUGCCUGGGAAACUGCCUGAUGGAGGGGGAUAACUCCUGGAAACGGUAGCUAAUAACGCAUACCAUCAGAUGUUCCCAGAGGGGAUUAGCUAGUAGGUGGGGUAAUGGCUCACCGAGGCGACGAUCCCUAGCUGGUCUGAGAGGAUGACCAGCCACACUGGAACUGAGACACGGUCCAGACUCCUACGGGAGGCAGCAGUGGGGAAUAUUGCACAAUGGGCGAAAGCCUGAUGCAGCAAGGCCGCGUGUGUGAAGAAGGCCUUCGGGUUGUAAAGCACUUUCAUCGGGGAGGCGGUACCCGCAGAGGAAGCACCGGCUAACUCCGUGCCAGCAGCCGCGGUAAUAC
rnacentral:rRNA from 1 species